rnacentral:piRNA from 1 species
UCCUUGUAUGUGUUUAUUGGGGUUGGAGAU